AACCACUGGUCACAAAGAAGACAGGGUGCAGUGAAAAUUCACACACUGAGCACAUCCACAUGAUGAUGACUGCCUGCGACAUCGCAGAUCGUGGGCAGGGAGGACCCGGAGGAAUCCCAGCUGCCAACAUCCUGCUUCGCUGCCAGAGGGAAUGACAUCAUAACUGCUCCAGACAAAAGGGAGGUGGUUUCUGGUCACCGUGAUGUCACUUGCUUCAGCAGACAGUCCCAGACAGCUGGGAGAC
rnacentral:lncRNA from 1 species